GCUCUUUCGAGGACAUCCUAAAAUUGGAACAAUAUAGAGAAAAUUAGCAUGACCUCUGCACAAGAAUAAUGGGCACAAAUCGGAAAAAAAAUAAAAUAAU